GAUGAACGCUGGCGGCGUGCCUAAUACAUGCAAGUCGAACGAAUCUUCUUCGGAAGAUGAGUGGCGAACGGGUGAGUAAUGCAUAGGUAACCUGCCCCUGUGCGGGGGAUAACAGGAGGAAACUCCUGCUAAUACCGCAUAGCCAUGAGCACCGCAUGGAGCUCAUGCCAAAUAUCCUUUCGGGGAUAGCGCAGGGAUGGACCUAUGGCGCAUUAGCUGGUUGGCGGGGCAACGGCCCACCAAGGCAACGAUGCGUAGCCGGCCUGAGAGGGCGGACGGCCACAUUGGGACUGAGACACGGCCCAGACUCCUACGGGAGGCAGCAGUAGGGAAUUUUCGGCAAUGGGGGAAACCCUGACCGAGCAACGCCGCGUGAGCGAAGAUGGCCUUCGGGUCGUAAAGCUCUGUUGUAAAGGAAGAACGGCGCAUACAGGAAAUGGUAUGCGAGUGACGGUACUUUACCAGAAAGCCACGGCUAACUACGUGCCAGCCGCCGCGGUAAGAC
rnacentral:rRNA from 1 species